UACGAAGGGGGCUAGCGUUGCUCGGAAUCACUGGGCGUAAAGCGCACGUAGGCGGGUUGUUAAGUCGGGGGUGAAAUCCUGGAGCUCAACUCCAGAACUGCCUUCGAUACUGGCGACCUUGAGUCCGGGAGAGGUGAGUGGAACUCCGAGUGUAGAGGUGAAAUUCGUAGAUAUUCGGAAGAACACCAGUGGCGAAGGCGGCUCACUGGCCCGGUACUGACGCUGAGGUGCGAAAGCGUGGGGAGCAAACCGG
rnacentral:rRNA from 1 species